AUGCUUAACACAUGCAAGUCGAACGGGAUGCUUAGGCAUCUAGUGGCGGACGGGUGAGUAACGCGUGAGAAUCUGGCUCCAGGUCGGGGAUAACAGUUGGAAACGACUGCUAAUACCGGAUGUGCCGAAAGGUGAAAGAUUUAUUGCCUGGAGAUGAGCUCGCGUCUGAUUAGCUAGUUGGUGGUGUAAGGGACCACCAAGGCGUCGAUCAGUAGCUGGUCUGAGAGGAUGAUCAGCCACACUGGGACUGAGACACGGCCCAGACUCCUACGGGAGGCAGCAGUGGGGAAUUUUCCGCAAUGGGCGAAAGCCUGACGGAGCAAUACCGCGUGAGGGAGGAAGGCUCUUGGGUCGUAAACCUCUUUUCUCAAGGAAGAAGAAAGUGACGGUACUUGAGGAAUAAGCAUCGGCUAGCUCCGUGCCAGCAGCCGCGGUAAUACGGAGGAUGCAAGCGUUAUCCGGAAUGAUUGGGCGUAAAGGGUCUGCAGGUGGAACUGAAAGUCUGCUGUUAAAGAGUUUGGCUUAACCAAAUAAAAGCGGUGGAAACUACAGAACUAGAGUGCGGUAGGGGCAAAAGGAAUUCCUGGUGUAGCGGUGAAAUGCGUAGAUAUCAGGAAGAACACCGGUGGCGAAAGCGUUUUGCUAGACCGUAACUGACACUGAGGGACGAAAGCUAGGGGAGCGAAUGGGAUUAGAUACCCCAGUAGUCCUAGCCGUAAACGAUGGAUACUAGGCGUGGCUUGUAUCGACCCGAGCCGUGCCGGAGCUAACGCGUUAAGUAUCCCGCCUGGGGAGUACGCACGCAAGUGUGAAACUCAAAGGAAUUGACGGGGGCCCGCACAAGCGGUGGAGUAUGUGGUUUAAUUCGAUGCAGCGCGAAGAACCUUACCAAGACUUGACAUCCUGCGAAUCCUGGUGAAAGCUGGGAGUGCCUUCGGGAGCGCAGAGACAGGUGGUGCAUGGCUGUCGUCAGCUCGUGUCGUGAGAUGUUGGGUUAAGUCCCGCAACGAGCGCAACCCUCGUUUUUAGUUGCCAGCAUUAAGUUGGGCACUCUAGAGAGACUGCCGGUGACAAACCGGAGGAAGGUGAGGAUGACGUCAAGUCAGCAUGCCCCUUACGUCUUGGGCUACACACGUACUACAAUGCUACGGACAGAGGGCAGCAAGCCAGGGAUGGCAAGCGAAUCCAGAAACCGUAGCUCAGUUCAGAUCGAAGGCUGCAACUCGCCUUCGUGAAGGAGGAAUCGCUAGUAAUUGCAGGUCAGCAUACUGCAGUGAAUUCGUUCCCGGGCCUUGUACACACCGCCCGUCACACCAUGGAAGUUGGUCACGCCCGAAGUCAUUACCCCAACCGAAAGGAGGGGGAUGCCUAAGGUAGGACU
rnacentral:rRNA from 1 species